CAAAAGGCUCUUUUCAGAGCCAACCACAAAGUCAUGAAAGAGUUG
rfam:Anolis carolinensis unplaced genomic scaffold chrTn0208, whole genome shotgun sequence.